rnacentral:tRNA from 1 species
GGUGGGGUGUCCGAGUGGUCAAAGGAAGCAGACUGUAAAUCUGCCGGCAAAAGCCUACGGGGGUUCAAAUCCUCCCCCCACCACCA